rnacentral:tRNA from 1 species
GGUGUGUUGGCUCAGUCAAGAGAGCGUCCGCCUCACAACCGGGAGGUCGUGGGUUCGAACCCCGGCCGCGUCA